UACAGAGGGUGCGAGCGUUAUUCGGAAUUACUGGGCGUAAAGCGUGCGUAGACGGUUAUGUAAGUCGGGUGUGAAAGCCCCGGGCUCAACCUGGGAAUUGCAUUCGAGACUGCAUAGCUAGGGUGCGGAAGAGGGAAGCGGAAUUUCCGGUGUAGCGGUGAAAUGCGUAGAUAUCGGAAGGAACAUCAGUGGCGAAAGCGGCUUCCUGGUCCAGCACCGACGUUCAGGCACGAAAGCGUGGGGAGCAAACAGG
rnacentral:rRNA from 1 species